GACAGAGGGUGCAAACGUUGCUCGGAAUUACUGGGCGUAAAGGGCGCGUAGGCGGUCGUGACAAGUCACUUGUGAAAUCUCCGGGCUUAACUCGGAACGGUCAAGUGAUACUGUCGGACUAGAGUACAGAAGGGGCAACUGGAAUUCUCGGUGUAGCGGUGAAAUGCGUAGAUAUCGAGAGGAACACCUGCGGCGAAGGCGGGUUGCUGGGCUGAUACUGACGCUGAGGCGCGAAAGCCAGGGGAGCGAACGGG
rnacentral:rRNA from 1 species